UCUAUCUAUCUCUGGCGAACACGACAAUUCGAUCAAUAGGGUUUUCAAAUCUUCCUCUCAAAGAUGACUCACACAUCAUCGGUGAAGCAAUUCUAAGCCAAUCCAUCUUCCUGAAUGUCCUUAGGGUUUACAACUAUUUCUCUCCAAGAUUUUCGAUUACAAUACAAUGGAUUUUGGGGAUCAGUGAUACCAGUAGGUCAAUCAAGAUUGGUUCCGCUUCGAACCCGACGACAGAGAUGAUCAGAGGUUUUCCGGUAAUGGAUUUGUUUUCAUCUAUUUUUCUCAUCCGAUUUGGU